rnacentral:rRNA from 1 species
UACGAGAAUGCUUGCAUUCUAGUGGCGAACGGGUGAGUAACACGUAAGAAUUUGCCUUUAGGACGAGGAUAACUUUUAGAAAUAAAAGCUAAUACUCGAUAUGCCAUCUGGUGAAACAAAGUAAUUUGCCUAAAGAGAAGCUUGCGUCUGAUUAGCUAGUUGGUAGGGUAAAGGCCUACCAAGGCGACGAUCAGUAGCUGGUCUGAGAGGAUGAUCAGCCACACUGGAACUGAGACACGGUCCAGACUCC